GUGCUCACUUUGGCAGCACGUAUACUAAAAUUGGAACGAUACAGAGAAGAUUAGCAGGGCCCCUGCGCAAGGAUGACACGCAAAUUUGUGAAGCGUUCCUUUUUUAA
rnacentral:snRNA from 1 species